AGAGUUUGAUCAUGGCUCAGGAUGAACGCUGGCGGCGUGCUUAACACAUGCAAGUCGAGCGAGAAGCUUGUGAAUGAUCCUUCGGGUGAAUGAAUAAGUGGAAAGCGGCGGACGGGUGAGUAACGCGUGGGUAACCUGCCCCAUACAAAGGGAUAGCCACUGGAAACGGUGAUUAAUACCAUAUAACACCAUAGUAUCGCAUGAUACAUUGGUCAAAGAUUUAUCGGUAUGGGAUGGACCCGCGUCUGAUUAGCUAGUUGGUAAGGUAACGGCUUACCAAGGCGACGAUCAGUAGCCGACCUGAGAGGGUGAUCGGCCACACUGGAACUGAGACACGGUCCAGACCCCUACGGGAGGCAGCAGUGGGGAAUAUUGCACAAUGGGCGCAAGCCUGAUGCAGCAACGCCGCGUGAGCGAUGAAGGCCUUCGGGUCGUAAAGCUCUGUCCUCAAGGAAGAAUAAAUGACGGUACUUGAGGAGGAAGCCCCGGCUAACUACGUGCCAGCAGCCGCGGUAAUACGUAGGGGGCAAGCGUUAUCCGGAAUCACUGGGCGUAAAGGGUGCGUAGGCGGUUCUUCAAGUCAGAAGUGAAAGGCAAUGGCUCAACCAUUGUAAGCUUUUGAAACUGUAGGACUUGAGUGCAGGAGAGGAAAGUGGAAUUCCUAGUGUAGAGGUGAAAUUCGUAGAUAUUAGGAGGAACA
rnacentral:rRNA from 1 species